CAAUUACAGAAGGGUAAGAUACAUCAGUUCUAUAGUUGACAGGCAUAUAAAACAAACCUUCAUAACCUUUCGGUCUAUUACAACCAGUUGCUUCAUCAUUUAUGAAAUCUGGAUUAGACUGAUGCUUCAAGUUUAUAAAUGGAGGUUAGGGAUGAGUACUUAUUGGGUACUUGAAGAACUGAGCACUAAAACCAAGAAGGAAAAUAUUGUGUCGCAACCAUCUGUUGGAAAUAUUGCGUGGGUGAAUUUUCAGUAAUUAAAACACAUAGGGGUUGAGGUGUUUAUUUCCUUCACUAGGUGACGGAAAUACAACUAAUUUAACAAUUUUCAAACUUAUGGAGUAAACCCUAAAAAACCAUAAAACAUAAUCUUCAGACGGGAGGUCAAACUCCACCUUGUAUACUUGGGGGAGGUUUCCAUAUGUAGGAAGAAGGUCAUGGGUUCAGCCACCCACCCCUGGUUAGCCCAAUACUGUGGUCGCACGACAACCAUAAGGUGUUUAGGAUAACCAAGAAGUACAACUUCAACUGUUAUCGUAAAUAAACUAUGUUAGGCAUUUGAUCGAAUAACUAAUCUGUGACCAAUAGGUGUGGUAUACUUCAGUGAUGUUCUAGACACGGGUUGCAGAUAGCCACCCAACCCCACCGCCCUUCCCCUCCCCCCUACCCACUAUCAGAAGAUCACAUGGCAAACAUAAGGAUUCUCAUACUCACCAUAGAAGGAAGGAAUCGUAUGAUGUAAAGCUGGGGGUGCCGCUGCAUAUCUGCCAAAAGGGCUACCGAGUACAUUCUAUUUGUACGGAUUGAUAACAGUUAACUCACGAGCAGAUGUAUGGGGUAAUGAAAAGCUUCACUAGAGGACCAUGCGCGCGCUACUAAGGAGUAGUUGCUCGGAAUCUCCGAUCCACUACCUAUGCGUCGUUGACGAUUAGAUGCUCGAACUCUCGAAUCGACUACCUAUGUGCCUCUAACGAGUAGCUGAUCGGCCUAUCUGAUGGAGUAGCUGCACGCCACAGCUGAGGUGAAAAGCCUAUUCGCGGGCCAACCCGACCGGAGUUACACGACUGCUGCAGUUGCUAGAUGGCAACACCUCUUCACGUUGCCCCAAGCCAUAUACCAACGCUGUUAACGCCCUCUGGUCUAGAUGGGGAAGCCUGCAAAGACUAUCCGCAUGACAAUUAACUUUGAGCUGCGAGAGUCAUAUCACAUAAUCCAAUGGCUGCUAGCAGCUAUAAAUUCCCCUUCUUCAUUAUUUGGGUCACAGUUACCCAUGAUGACAGCAGGCUACUUGGUCAUCGAGUGUAGUUUGUCCACGGCAGCAGGGCUUCUUAAAAACACGAACCUCCAUGGACGCAUAUCAUCUCGUUACAGCAGUUCUCCCACAAUGCGAUCUGCUGAGUCUGGUUCUCCGCCAACACUCUGAGCCCAAACCUGAGUGGCUAAUAAGCAACUCAAAUGGUCUCUACCAGGCAACCGUCACCAUUGUGGUGAACGGAAACGAGUCCUCGUUCGCGAGAAAACUCCGUUCGCUAGCUGAAGCAAGCAUCCAGACAACCACCCAUCUUGCAAUGUGGCACCUUAAAGAGGACUGGCGUGUACACGUCGUUGAUGUUACAUACCUGGAGUACCGGCACUGCGCUCGCCUGUGUCACAAUCUUCAAAAAGAGGUGGAUGAUCUACAACUUGAGAAUCUGGCAAUGAAGACUAAUAUCGCACGCAUGGUGCGCGAUCUUGCCGAGUUUAGGGCAAGGCCUAACAGCAGUGUGUCAAGCGCAAUCUUGCCCAUACUCAAGCGUACGACCAUUCUUUUAUCGUGUCUAUGAUUACAACUCUCCUCCUUUUUUCUCUUCAAACAUGUAUUGUGAUUGUACGAAAACUAUCUUGCACCGGUUGCUUGUUGAUAUGGCACACUACGACUCAAGUGAACUCA